rnacentral:rRNA from 1 species
GAUGAACGCUGGCGGCGUGCGUAAUACAUGCAAGUAGAACACUGAAGCUUGGUGCUUGCACCGAGCGGAUGAGUUGCGAACGGGUGAGUAACGCGUAGGUAACCUGCCUCUUAGCGGGGGAUAACUAUUGGAAACGAUAGCUAAUACCGCAUAAAAGUCGACAUUGCAUGAUGUUGACUUGAAAGGUGCAAUUGCAUCACUAAGAGAUGGACCUGCGUUGUAUUAGCUAGUUGGUGAGGUAACGGCUCACCAAGGCGACGAUACAUAGCCGACCUGAGAGGGUGAUCGGCCACACUGGGACUGAGACACGGCCCAGACUCCUACGGGAGGCAGCAGUAGGGAAUCUUCGGCAAUGGGGGCAACCCUGACCGAGCAACGCCGCGUGAGUGAAGAAGGUUUUCGGAUCGUAAAGCUCUGUUGUAAGAGAAGAACGAGUGUGAGAGUGGAAAGUUCACACUGUGACGGUAACUUACCAGAAAGGGACGGCUAACUACGUGCCAGCAGCCGCGGUAAUACGUAGGUCCCGAGCGUUAUCCGGAUUUAUUGGGCGUAAAGCGAGCGCAGGCGGUUAGAUAAGUCUGAAGUUAAAGGCUGUGGCUUAACCAUAGUACGCUUUGGAAACUGUUUAACUUGAGUGCAGAAGGGGAGAGUGGAAUUCCAUGUGUAGCGGUGAAAUGCGUAGAUAUAUGGAGGAACACCGGUGGCGAAAGCGGCUCUCUGGUCUGUAACUGACGCUGAGGCUCGAAAGCGUGGGGAGCAAACAGG